rnacentral:rRNA from 1 species
UACGUAGGGUGCGAGCGUUGUCCGGAAUUACUGGGCGUAAAGAGCUCGUAGGUGGUUUGUCGCGUUGUUCGUGAAAUCUCACGGCUUAACUGUGAGCGUGCGGGCGAUACGGGCAGACUGGAGUACUGCAGGGGAGACUGGAAUUCCUGGUGUAGCGGUGGAAUGCGUAGAUAUCGGGAGGAACACCUGCGGCGAAGGCGGGUUGCUGGGCUGACACUGACGCUGAUGCGCGAAAGCUAGGGGAGCGAACGGG